rnacentral:lncRNA from 1 species
AUGAAAGUUAAGCAAUUGAAAUAAACUUGAAUUUAAAUGAUAAGGUAAUGUAAAUUGCAAAAAUUUAAACUUACACUAAGGAAAUAAAGAAUUGGCUACACUAGGUGCUUGAAAAGUAAAAUCCUAAGUCUAAGAAAAGAAAAGUGCGAGACAAAAAAGAGGUUUGUGUGUCUAAUGAUGUGUGUCUUCUGCCUUCGUUCGGUGAAGUUUAUGUAAGGCAUCCGUUAGCCCAUGGGCUGGCCAUUGAAUGAUCAAAUGUCAACUCUUUUAAAACUCUUUCCUUUUGAAGCCCCCAAAAUCCAUGGAUCAUGUCGGCGGAGAUAUUAUGGUUGCUUGAUUUUCUCUCGUUUUGGAAAAUUCCGAAUCGUCAUCAACCUCCUUGAUUUCUUUCCUUGUCAAGCCUCAGUCACGUGCACACUGACCUCUGUGGAACCUCGUGCCCUUUGAGUUUUUAGAAUUCUAGAGUUGGCUAACCAUCUGCCAAGAUGGGUGCUAUGGGAACUUCAAAUAUUUGGAUGUCGGGCUUAGCUCCACGUUUGACUAUCUUUGAGUUCUCAAAAUAUUUGAAUGUUGGGAACUCAAUGGACAUACCUCCCCCCGAACUUCAACUCCCUUGACGGAAAUACCUUCUGCCGAACUUCAACUCCUUCAGGCCAACUUUGCUUGCCCAAGUGUUUCGAGGAGGGCGCCAAGGUGCACAAGGAGAAAAUUCGCCCUGACCCAACUUUUUCUAUGAGGGGUGGCCGACCAAGGUAUUUAAGAAGUGCCCAACCCAACUUUUUGAGAAGUGCCCGACCACUUUUUCAAAAGGAAGCAUUUGGCCAAUUUUGCAAGGAUACGCACAACCACUUUUGCAAGGAUACGCCCAACCACCUUUGCAAAGGGAAGUGCCUGGUCAUUUUUGCAAAAGGGAGCGCCCGACCAUAUUUUUGAGAAGGCACCACGGCCUUUGAAGAAAACACAUUUGCCACAUUUUUGAGAAGGCACCAUGGCCUUUGAAGAAAACACCUAGGUCGCAUUUUUUAGAAGGCACCACGGCCUUUGAAGAAAAGACCUCGGCGGCCAUUUUGAGAAAGCAACUCGGCAGCUAGGAAUUCUCGGCCACUAGG